GCCAGGGGGACAUUAUUUUGCAUGACAGGCCCUCCAACCAAAUCUCGCUUAGGGUCCCCAAAAGGUUAAAACCGGCCCUGUGGCAAACCAUAUACCAGAUUUUGUACAUGCAUUUUAAUUGCUGAAAUUGUUGAGUGCAAAUCCAACCCUUGUAAUUUAGGUACUGUAUGAAAAUAAGGAGAUGUCAAUUAGGCAACAGGAGAUGAGCACUGAAGGUGGUACAGCAUCUGUUUACACCAACAUGCGCUUCCAACCCCUAGCUCUGCACAAGAUGAAGGUUAUCUGGAGUCAUUCCACAGUGCCUUGCUGAAAAAUACCCCAAAGUGGAGGCAUGUUGGGUACACAAGCACGAGGGAGCGGACACACCUUGAGGUUAUGGAGUACAAGAUUGUGGGACAGAAACCAGCAAGGGACACUGAAAAGGAGACAUUCCAGGAGUAAAUCUUCUGCAAGGGGACCAUUCGGUUGGUGGUUAAGAAGCCCUAGACCACUUUCAGCAGAGUCUUAUCCAGCUGUCCGUUCACUGCAGAUAGGACAAGACCAUUCGCCAUCAGCACAAAGUGUCUCAGCUUCCCCAGCCCACCAUGCCGAACACCACUGCCAGUGUACUGAAUCGGAUAAAGGACUAUGGCUGCGUUUAUACAGGCGGCCCAAUUCUGAUGUUUUUUUCACUAAUUGGUGUUUUGACCAAUCAGAUCAGUAUUGAAAAAUAUCUGACGUGGUUAAAACCAAUUCGUGAGAAAAUAUAACAGAAUUGGACUGCCUGUGUAAACACAGCUAGCAUGGCUCAGCAUAAGACCGUGUAGAACAGGGGUCUCCAAACCUCUUCUUCUUCUUCUUCUUCUAUGUUAUAAUGGCGUUCACAACUAUUAGAAGCGCAUUCCGCCACCUACUGUGUGGGUGGAUAAUAAGGAUCCCAAAAAGGAAAUCAUUUGGGUAAAAAUAAAUUAAACAUCAUACAAACUACCAAAAAAGAAAUUAACUAAACAAAAUCAACCUGCAUUUCUGUAAAAAAAAAACUCAUUCUAAUCAGGUCCUAACACAGCGACAAUAGUCCUUGUAGUGCUAGCGACAAUAGUCCUUGUAGUGCUUCUGCCAUGAAUUCUUGGAGACGCAAAAACAUCUCGGCUGCAGAUACACUGAUGUCCAGCUUCCUGGACUUCUUAGACACUUGUGCUGUACAAUUAAUCACUGUGGCUACAAAUGACAUGAAAUCCACUUUCUUCACAUUGAGUGUAUCCAGAUCACUCGAUUGACUUAAAACACUACCAACUGGUUUCAAUGCAUCCAACUCCAUAUCUUCAACACUGUUGCCUCUUCCUCCUUCAACUCUCUUCACCGCCUCCACAUAGGAGACCCGCUGCACAGCCCUGAUCCUUGACACCUCGAUCUCCUUCACCCGAACAGGGCACUCAAUGAAGUCCGGAGUAUGAUCCCCAUCACAGAUGUAACAUUUUUCAUUCACAGAUUCAUCUAUAUCAUACUUCUCCCAUCUGCAAACAUUUUGACACGUGACCAAAUCCUUUACAAUUUCCACACUGUAAUGGUUUGGACACAAAUGCAGUGUAUCGACAGGCUUUUCUCCUUCCUUCCAUUUACCAUACGGGUCAGGUGACGGGCACUGACCACUCCUGGGAUUUUCUGACUAAGGUACUCAUUAUCUAUAUCCAAUGAGACUCCAGCUAGAACUCCUUUGGCAGGCGCCUUGCUCCGAAGAUCAAUAAAUGUUACUUCUGACGUGGACAAUUUAGCCAGAUCCAGUAGACGCUUCUUCUGUUCUUCAUCGACACAAUUAACCAAAACAAGGCUGCUUCUAGUCACCUUGAUUUGAAUCCACCUUUUCCCACUGCUUUCUUCACAGUCCUCAAUAUUACAAAUGGAUUUCCCAAAGGAAUCUUCUUGUCCAAAAAACGCAGUCCAAUAAGAAAUGCAUUAUGCAUCCUUGUUUUCUACUACAGCUUUUGCUAAUUUUCUUCCAUUCUUUGAUUUCACUAUUUUCCAUUCCUUAUAACACACUUCACCUGCCUCACUUUCAGAUUCAAGCAGUCGCCAUUACCUCCUCCCUCCUAGGAAUCUGUCGAUUUGGACUACCUUACCUGAAAUAUCCAACCCUGUUCCUGAAGAGCUACCCUCCGGUAGGUUUUCAC